AUGAGCAUCGAAGCAGUGUGGGGAACAUUGCAAGAUGGUUUAAAUUUGCUGUAUCGAAGAGAGCAUAUGUCGAAGAAGUACUAUAUGAUGCUUUAUGAUGCUGUCUAUAAUAUUUGCACAACAACAACACUUGCCAAUUCAAAUAAUAAUUCGCCAGAAUUUGCAAGUGAAUUUCUCUACAAACAACUUGAAAACUAUAUCAGGACAUAUGUGAUUGCAAUUCGAGACAGAAUAUCAGCGUGUUCUGGUGAUGAACUACUCGGAAAAUGCACCAUCGAAUGGGACAACUUCAAAUUUUCUACAAGAAUCUGCAAUUGUAUAUUUCAGUAUUUGAAUCGAAAUUUUGUUUCGAAAAAAGUAGAAGACAAGAAUGGAGAAAUUGUGGAAAUUUACAAACUGGCUCUAGACAUUUGGAAGGCUGAAUUUUUUGAUAAUUUUAAAGUUAAAACAAUCGAUGCUAUUCUUGAAUUGAUACUUUUGGAAAGAUGUGGAUCGACAAUUAAUAGCACACAUAUUUCUUCAGUUGUCGAAUGUCUGACGGAACUUGAUAUUUACAAGAAUACAUGAUAACUGUUGAAAAUCGACUGUUUCAAGAAGAAUACAGGAGUCGACGAUAUCUUGGACCAUCUACAAAUGAUCUACUGAUUGACUCAUGCGAAUCUAUUUUGAUUUCCGAUCGGUUGAAGUUCUUGCAUAGCGAGUUUGAACGUCUUUUGGAGGCUAGAAAGGAUGAGCACCUGACGAGAAUGUACAGUUUGUGCAGGAGAGUUACACAUGGACUCGAGGAUUUGAGGGUGUAUCUCGAAAAGCGAAUUUUAAAAGAAGGACACGAAACAUUGCAAAGACUGGCUAAAGACAGUGGACUAAAAACUACACCAAAGGAAUACAUAACCAAACUCCUUGAAGUUCACGAGAUUUAUUUCAACUUGAUAAAUAAAGCAUUCGAUAGAAAUGCACUUUUCAUGCAAUCUCUCGACAAAGCUUCUAAGGACUUUAUCGAAGCUAAUGCUGUGACUAUGUUGGCUCCUGAAAAACACCGAAGCACAAGGUCUGCAGACUAUCUUGCAAGAUAUUGUGAUCAGCUCUUGAAGAAGAAUUCCAAGGUUCAAGAUGAAACGGCGCUAGAUAAAGCAUUAACGGUGCUCAAGUAUAUCAGCGAAAAGGAUGUCUUCCAAUUGUAUUAUCAAAAUUGGUUCAGUGAACGAAUCAUCAAUAAUUCUUCAGCAAGUGAUGAUGCAGAAGAAAAGUUCAUUACAAAUCUAACUGCAACAGAAGGUCUCGAAUAUACUCGCAAUCUUGUGAAAAUGGUCGAAGACGCUAAAAUUAGUAAAGAUUUGACUACUGAAUUCAAAGAUAUCAAAACGGAAAAGUCGAUUGACUUUAACGUUAUUCUUCAAACAACUGGUGCAUGGCCAAGUUUAGAUCAAAUCAAGAUUAUUCUUCCGCGAGAAUUAUCGACAAUUCUCAAAGAGUUCGAUACAUUCUACAAUGCGAGUCAUAAUGGACGAAGAUUGAACUGGGCUUACUCACAAUGCCGGGGCGAAGUUAACUCUAAAGCUUUCGAAAAGAAAUAUGUAUUUAUUGUUACAGCAAGCCAACUCUGCACGCUCUAUCUUUUCAAUGAGCAGGACUCGUUCACAAUUGAACAAAUUUCCAAAGCUAUUGAAAUGACUGCAAAGUCAACUUCGGCUAUCGUAGGAUCUCUUAAUCCGGUUAUUGAUCCAGUGCUAGUAGUUGACAAAGGCAACGAAAAAGAUGGAUAUCCACCUGAUGCCGUAGUGAGUUUGAAUACGAAGUAUGCGAACAAAAAAGUGCGAGUGGAUUUGACAACGGCAAUUAAAAAAGCAACAGCAGAUCGUGAGACAGAUGCGGUUCAAAAUACAGUUGAAAGCGAUAGGAAGUAUGAGAUCAAGGCAUGCAUCGUAAGAAUCAUGAAGACACGGAAAAGUCUCACCCACACAUUGCUCAUUAAUGAGAUAAUUAGUCAAUUGAAAAGCCGGUUUACGCCAAAUGUGCAAAUGAUCAAGAUAUGCAUUGAAAUCCUGAUUGAGCAGUUGUACAUACGUCGAUCAGAAAACGAACACAAUGUCUAUGAGUAUUUGGCAUAA
rnacentral:misc_RNA from 1 species